rnacentral:rRNA from 1 species
AGCAUCUUCGGGUGUGGAUGAGUGGCGAACGGGUGAGUAACACGUGGGUAAUCUGCCCUGCACUCUGGGAUAAGCCUUGGAAACGGGGUCUAAUACCGGAUACGACACUGAAUCGCAUGGUUUGGUGUGGAAAGUUCUGGCGGUGCAGGAUGAGCCCGCGGCCUAUCAGCUUGUUGGUGGGGUAGUGGCCUACCAAGGCGACGACGGGUAGCCGGCCUGAGAGGGUGACCGGCCACACUGGGACUGAGACACGGCCCAGACUCCUACGGGAGGCAGCAGUGGGGAAUAUUGCGCAAUGGGCGAAAGCCUGACGCAGCAACGCCGCGUGGGGGAUGACGGCCUUCGGGUUGUAAACCUCUUUCGACAGGGACGAAGCUUUCGGGUGACGGUACCUGUAGAAGAAGCACCGGCUAACUACGUGCCAGCAGCCGCGGUAAUACGUAGGGUGCGAGCGUUGUCCGGAUUUAUUGGGCGUAAAGAGCUCGUAGGCGGUUUGUCGCGUCUAUCGUGAAAACCAGGAGCUUAACUUCUGGCUUGCGGUGGAUACGGGCAGACUUGAGUUCGGUAGGGGAGACUGGAAUUCCUGGUGUAGCGGUGAAAU